rnacentral:lncRNA from 1 species
GCACCCCGACACAGAGAGAGAUAGAGCCAGCAAUGACGGUGGGAAGAAUUCCUGCGUCACCUUUACAAGAAUUGGGGCUUAAAUCUCUUCGCCGGCUGUGUCAUGAUAGAUAUACAAUUCCUCGUACGUCUGCCCCCUAAAAAGAAGUAAUGAAGCGUUAUAAACACAGUAUCGGAGCUGGCGUGCCUCGAAGUGCAGGAAAGGUGUUUGUGAUAAUGCCAAAGAUAUUGUGUAACCCUGUAACAGCCGUUAUUUAAAAGGGUGGGGGGAGUAGGAGUCACUCACAGUGGGUUACACAAGACGGCGAUCGAUGAUGACGGCUUCUGUGUGGUCACGGAGGUAACAGGACAGGCACAUCAAAGUCUGGGAACGCUGUAACGGAGGAGGAGGAAAGAGGACAGU